rnacentral:rRNA from 1 species
CCCUUAGAUGUUCGGAGCUGCACGCGCGCUACACCGAAGGAAGCAGCGUGUUAGAGCACCUGGCCCGCGAGGGCUGGGUAAUCCGGUGAAUGUCCUUCGUGAUUGGGAUAGGGACUUGUAAUUAUUUCCCUUGAACGAGGAAUACCUAGUAAGUGCGAGUCAUCAGCUUGCAUUGAUUACGUCCCUGCCCUUUGUACACACCGCCCGUCGCACCUACCGAUUGAAUGGUCCGGUGAAAUCUUGGGAUUUUGUUUUGUUUGCAUUUAUUUGUAUCGAGACGAGAGAACUUGAGUAAACCUUACCAUUUAGAGGAAGGUGAAGUCGUAACA